AUUGAACGCUGGCGGCAGGCCUAACACAUGCAAGUCGAGCGAGCGGCGGACGGGUGAGUAAUGUAUGGGGACUGCCCGAUAGAGGGGGAUAACUACUGGAAACGGUGGCUAAUACCGCAUACUAUCGGAUAACCCAUAUGGGAUUAGCUAGUAGGUGGGGUAAAGGCUCACCUAGGCGACGAUCACUAGCUGGUCUGAGAGGAUGAUCAGCCACACUGGGACUGAGACACGGCCCAGCAUCCGACGGAUGCAGCAGUGUGGAAUAUUGCACAAUGAGCGCAAGCCUGAUGCAGCCAAGCCGCGUGUAUGAAGAAGGCAUUAGGGUUGUAAAGUACUAUCAUCAGGGAGGCGUUACCCGCAAAAGAAACACCGGCUAACUCCGUGCCAGCCGCCGCGGUAAUUC
rnacentral:rRNA from 1 species